rnacentral:rRNA from 1 species
AGUCGAGCGACUGAUUAGAAGCUUGCUUCUAUGACGUUAGCGGCGGACGGGUGAGUAACACGUGGGCAACCUGCCUGUAAGACUGGGAUAACUCCGGGAAACCGGAGCUAAUACCGGAUAACAUUUUCUCUUGCAUAAAAAAAAAUUGAAAGAUGGUUUCGGCUAUCACUUACAGAUGGGCCCGCGGUGCAUUAGCUAGUUGGUGAGGUAACGGCUCACCAAGGCAACGAUGCAUAGCCGACCUGAGAGGGUGAUCGGCCACACUGGGACUGAAACACGGCCCAGACUCCUACGGGAGGCAGCAGUAGGGAAUCUUCCGCAAUGGACGAAAGUCUGACGGAGCAACGCCGCGUGAGUGAUGAAGGCUUUCGGGUCGUAAAACUCUGUUGUUAGGGAAGAACAAGUACAAGAGUAACUGCUUGUACCUUGACGGUACCUAACCAGAAAGCCACGGCUAACUACGUGCCAGCAGCCGCGGUAAUACGUAGGUGGCAAGCGUUAUCCGGAAUUAUUGGGCGUAAAGCGCGCGCAGGCGGUUUCUUAAGUCUGAUGUGAAAGCCCACGGCUCAACCGUGGAGGGUCAUUGGAAACUGGGGAACUUGAGUGCAGAAGAGAAAAGCGGAAUUCCACGUGUAGCGGUGAAAUGCGUAGAGAUGUGGAGGAACACCAGUGGCGAAGGCGGCUUUUUGGUCUGUAACUGACGCUGAGGCGCGAAAGCGUGGGGAGCAAACAGGAUUAGAUACCCUGGUAGUGCACGCCGUAAACGAUGAGUGCUAAGUGUUAGAGGGUUUCCGCCCUUUAGUGCUGCAGCUAACGCAUUAAGCACUCCGCCUGGGGAGUGCGGUCGCAAGACUGAAACUCAAAGGAAAUGACGGGGGCCCGCACAAGCGGUGGAGCAUGUGGUUUAAUUUGAAGCAACGCGAAGAACCUUACCAGGUCUUGACAUCCUCUGACAACUCUAGAGAUAGAGCGUUCCCCUUCGGGGGACAGAGUGACAGGUGGUGCAUGGUUGUCGUCAGCUCGUGUCGUGAGAUGUUGGGUUAAGUCCCGCAACGAGCGCAACCCCUGAUUUUAGUUUCCAGCACUUAGUUGGGCACUCUAAGGUGACUGCCGGGGACAAACCGGAGGAAGGUGGGGAGGACGUCAAAUCAUCAUGCCCCUUAUGACCUGGGGUACACACGUGCUACAAUGGAUGGUACAAAGGGGUGCAAGACCGCGAGGUCAAGCCAAUCCCAUAAAACCAUUUUCAGUUCGGAUUGUAGGGUGCAACUCGCCUACACGAAGCUGGAAUCGCUAGUAAUCGCGGAUCAGCACGCCGCGGUGAAUACGUUCCCGGGCCUUGUACACACCGCCCGUCACACCACGAGAGUUUGUAACACCCGAAGUCGGUGGGGUAACCUUUAUGGAGCCAGCCG